UUUUUUUUGCCAAAAAAAGAAACAAAAAGACUAAAACAGCUUCCCACCAGCAAUCAAAGCCCAGGUGAGCAGAGAUUAACACCAAGAUUAACCUCAGACCAACAAACAGGAAGUAAACAAUACCUCAAUCAAAGAA